rnacentral:rRNA from 1 species
UACAGAGGUCCCAAGCGUUGUUCGGAUUCACUGGGCGUAAAGGGUGCGUAGGUGGUCGGGUAAGUCUGAUGUGAAAUCUCCAAGCUUAACUUGGAAAUGGCAUUGGAUACUAUUCGGCUAGAGGGUUUGAGGGGGGACUGGAAUACUUGGUGUAGCAGUGAAAUUCGUAGAUAUUCGCAAGAACACCAGUGGCGAAGGCGGCUCACUGGAUCGGUACUGACGCUGAGUGCGAAAGCGUGGGGAGCAAACAGG